rnacentral:rRNA from 1 species
UGGGGAAUUUUGGACAAUGGGGGAAACCCUGAUCCAGCCAUCCCGCGUGUGCGAUGAAGGCCUUCGGGUUGUAAAGCACUUUUGGCAGGAAAGAAACGUCGCGGGUUAAUACCCCGCGAAACUGACGGUACCUGCAGAAUAAGCACCGGCUAACUACGUGCCAGCAGCCGCGGUAAUACGUAGGGUGCAAGCGUUAAUCGGAAUUACUGGGCGUAAAGCGUGCGCAGGCGGUUCGGAAAGAAAGAUGUGAAAUCCCAGAGUUUAACUUUGGAACUGCAUUUUUAACUACCGGGCUAGAGUGUGUCAGAGGGAGGUGGAAUUCCGCGUGUAGCAGUGAAAUGCGUAGAUAUGCGGAGGAACACCGAUGGCGAAGGCAGCCUCCUGGGAUAACACUGACGCUCAUGCACGAAAGCGUGGGGAGCAAACAGGAUUAGAUACCCUGGUAGUCCACGCCCUAAACGAUGUCAACUAGCUGUUGGGGCCUUCGGGCCUUGGUAGCGCAGCUAACGCGUGAAGUUGACCGCCUGGGGAGUACGGUCGCAAGAUUAAAACUCAAAUGAA